GGGGAAUAUUGGACAAUGGGGGGAACCCUGAUCCAGCCAUGCCGCGUGUGUGAAGAAGGCCUUUUGGUUGUAAAGCACUUUAAGCGAGGAGGAGGCUCUUUUGGUUAAUACCCAGAAUGAGUGGACGUUACUCGCAGAAUAAGCACCGGCUAACUCUGUGCCAGCAGCCGCGGUAAUACAGAGGGUGCGAGCGUUAAUCGGAUUUACUGGGCGUAAAGCGUACGUAGGCGGCUUUUUAAGUCGGAUGUGAAAUCCCUGAGCUUAACUUAGGAAUUGCAUUCGAUACUGGGAAGCUAGAGUAUGGGAGAGGAUGGUAGAAUUCCAGGUGUAGCGGUGAAAUGCGUAGAGAUCUGGAGGAAUACCGAUGGCGAAGGCAGCCAUCUGGCCUAAUACUGACGCUGAGGUACGAAAGCAUGGGGAGCAAAC
rnacentral:rRNA from 1 species